rnacentral:tRNA from 1 species
UGUCCGUUGGUCUAGGUGGUAUAGGACUCAUCCCUGUCACGGAUGAGAUUACGAGUUCGAGUCUCGGACGGACCU